rnacentral:rRNA from 1 species
UACGUAGGGCGCAAGCGUUAUCCGGAAUUAUUGGGCGUAAAGAGCUCGUAGGCGGUCUGUCACGUCGGCUGUGAAAACCCGAGGCUCAACCUCGGGCCUGCAGUCGAUACGGGCAGACUAGAGUUCGGUAGGGGAGACUGGAAUUCCUGGUGUAGCGGUGAAAUGCGCAGAUAUCAGGAGGAACACCGGUGGCGAAGGCAGAUCUCUGGGCCGUAACUGACGCUGAGGAGCGAAAGCAUGGGAGCGAACAGG